rnacentral:lncRNA from 1 species
CAUCCUUCACACCAAUUCCUCAUUGCAAAGAAUGUGACAUUCACGUCUUGGACUUGCUUGAAUUUACAGUGCCUUCAGCAUUCCUUGAAGAUAUCCAAGAAAGAUGCAGUCCACCCUCCAAGUAUUGAUUUCUAAUCUCAGGAAAAAGGCUGCGGUUCCACCGCUUCCAGGCGGCUGGAUGGGGCCGCCCCACCCCCGCCCCGCCGCCCCCGCCCCCGCCCCCACUGUGGUUCCUGCUUUCCUCAGUAGCAAAGUGCUUCAGAUGUGAAGAUGGCCCACCCGUGUCCUGUGAUGUGGAGCUCCCCCUCGGGACUCAGGGAAUUGGGCGUCCACCUCCUCACAGCAUCACACCCCUUUCUUUCACCUGCAAUUCCCAUUCGCCAAGCAUUGGCUGCGGGUCUCCCAGCAGACGGUUGCAUCCUGACUAUAGAAAGAAAGACAUUAGGGAUCCCAACAAGUGGAAUCUAUUCCUGCAGAAUCCAGGACUUGGGAGGAUUCCCAAACCUGACUGGGCAGCCAGCCCAGUUUCCAAGGUCAUCACUAGGGCCAGCAAGCCCCUCUGUGGGUCCUCCCAGCCCACCGGGCUUCUGCGCACUUCCUGUCACUCCCCACUGAGGAAUGCUCUCACUGGUAGUCCCUCUGCUUGUGGAUGUCCUACCUUCUCCCUUUUCUCAAUUGCUCCACCCAGACCGAUUCCAUCGUUCCUUCAUUUUUUUAGAGAGCAUUCUCUUUUCUAGUAUUUAAUUGACUUUUUGAUUGUGUGACACCAAUAGGACUCUCAUCCUGAUAUGGGGAGAAGCAUGACCUCUAGACGGCCAGGAAGUACCCUUGAUCUUGACCUGCAAGCUCUAGGGGACAGUCUUAGGGACGACCUCAAGAUUACAGAAUAUCUAUAUUUGCGCACACACACACGCACACACACA